AUUGAACGCUGGCGGCAUGCCUUACACACGCAAGUCGAACGGCAGCACGGGAGCAAUCCUGGUGGCGAGUGGCGAACGGGUGAGUAAAGUAUCGGAACGUGCCCAGUCGUGGGGGAUAACGUAGCGAAAGUUACGCUAAUACCGCAUACGAUCUAUGGAUGAAAGCGGGGGAUCGCAAGACCGCGCGCGAUGGGACCGGCCGAUAUCAGAUUAGGUAGUUGGUGGGGUAAAGGCUCACCAAGCCGACGAUCUGUAGCUGGUCUGAGAGGACGACCAGCCACACUGGGACUGAGACACGGCCCAGACUCCUACGGGAGGCAGCAGUGGGGAAUUCUGGACAAUGGGCGAAAACCUGAUCCAGCCAUGCCGCGUGCAGGAUGAAGGCCUUCGGGUUGUAAACUGCUUUUGUACGGAACGAAAAGGUUUGGCCUAAUAAGCUGAGCUCAUGACGGUACCGUAAGAAUAAGCACCGGCUAACUACAGGCCAGCAGCCGCCGCAG
rnacentral:rRNA from 1 species